UACGUAGGUGGCAAGCGUUGUCCGGAAUUAUUGGGCGUAAAGCGCGCGCAGGCGGUUCCUUAAGUCUGAUGUGAAAGCCCCCGGCUCAACCGGGGAGGGUCAUUGGAAACUGGGGAACUUGAGUGCAGAAGAGGAGAGCGGAAUUCCACGUGUAGCGGUGAAAUGCGUAGAGAUGUGGAGGAACACCAGUGGCGAAGGCGGCUCUCUGGUCUGUAACUGACGCUGAGGCGCGAAAGCGUGGGGAGCGAACAGGAUUAGAAACCCGUGUAGUCC
rnacentral:rRNA from 1 species